ACGUAGGGUGCGAGCGUUAAUCGGAAUUACUGGGCGUAAAGCGUGCGCAGGCGGUUUUUUAAGUCAGAUGUGAAAUCCCCGGGCUCAACCUGGGAACUGCAUUUGAGACUGUACGGCUAGAGUGUGGCAGAGGGGGGUAGAAUUCCACGUGUAGCGGUGAAAUGCGUAGAGAUGUGGAGGAAUACCGGUGGCGAAGGCAGCCCCCUGGCCCAAUACUGACGCUCAUGCGCGAAAGCGUGGGGAGCAAACAG
rnacentral:rRNA from 1 species